CACAGAAUGGCUGAGAUGGGAAUGGACCUCUGGAGUUCGACUAGUACAUCCCCCUCAAGCAGGUCCAGUGAAAGCAAACUGCAAAGGGAUGUGUCCAGUUGGGUUUCAAUUAUCUGGAUGGAUGGAGACUCCACAGUCUCUUAGGGAAUCCUGUAAGAAAUAUGGUCUCGGCUCCCAGAUGGGCAAGUACCCGCUUCACCAAGGGGGCACUGAACAGCUGCUGAAUGAACACAGAUGUUGAUCAACAGUGGCUGAACAUGAGACAGUGUGUGCCCAAGUGGCCAAGGAGGACAGUGUCAUCCAGGGCUGUACCAGCAAUAGUGUGGGCAGCAGGACCAGGGUAGGGAUUGUCCCCCUGAGCUGGGCACUGGAGAGGCUGCACCUUGAAUUCUGGGUUCAGUUUUGAGCCCCUCACAACAAGAAAGACAAUUGAGGGGCUGGAGGGUGUCCAGAGCAGGACAACAGAGCUGGGGAAGGGUCUGGAGCACAAGUCUGAUGAGAAGCAGCUGAGGGAG